AGGGCUAGAAAGCCAUGGAGGAAGAUUUUAAACCCAGAUCUGCAGAGAACCAAAGCUAAUGAUGAUGUUUUCACUACUCCACAUUGUGAUACCAAAACAAACAAACAAACAAAAACUGUGACUGAUCUGAUAUCCUGUACAGGGAGGAUGACCUGUUAGACCCAAUCUAUUAAGGAUAUUUCUGCAUUUUCUAAAUUAAUCAUUGCUACAUCUAGUAGGAGCAGAGGACAAUAAUUUUUCACACCUUAUUCAUAAGGGUGGAAUACCCAAAAGCCAGAGAAGAGUCCAGGGCAACCUCUAGGGCUUCAUCCAGGGCAACCUCCACAUGGCAGACAAGGGCUGAUCCCCACCAGAGGACAAUUCCUUAUUUAGUCUAUAUUUACUUGGGAAGCUGGACCACAUCAGAGUAGGCGCCUAUGCAUCUAACCUCACCUCCG
rnacentral:lncRNA from 9 species